AGAGUUUGAUCAUGGCUCAGAUUGAACGCUGGCGGCAUGCUUUACACAUGCAAGUCGAACGGGGUAGCAAUACCUAGUGGCGAACGGGUGAGUAAUGCAUCGGAACGUAUCCUCUUGUGGGGGAUAACCCACCGAAAGGUGGGCUAAUACCGCAUAAGCUCUGAGGAGGAAAGCGGGGGACCGAAAGGCCUCGCGCAGGAGGAGCGGCCGAUGUCCGAUUAGCUAGUUGGUGGGGUAAAGGCCCACCAAGGCGACGAUCGGUAGCUGGUCUGAGAGGAUGAUCAGCCACACUGGGACUGAGACACGGCCCAGACUCCUACGGGAGGCAGCAGUGGGGAAUUUUGGACAAUGGGGGCAACCCUGAUCCAGCCAUGCCGCGUGAGUGAAGAAGGCCUUCGGGUUGUAAAGCUCUUUCGGACGGAACGAAAUUGCCUGGACCAAUACUCUGGGUAGAUGACGGUACCGUAAGAAGAAGCACCGGCUAACUACGUG
rnacentral:rRNA from 1 species